GAACACAAAAUGGCGACACGUGGUUAGCAUUCGUCGCCAACGAGAAAUUGGGGUCGGCCCGAAAGCUCUAGAAUGCACCCCUCUUCCUCCCCGGGGCCUUCCACCUCCGCGAGUUUUAUGACUUAAAAAAGCCCACAGGCUGGUCUGAAGGUCGGAGGCCUAAUUUUAACGCGUUUUCCUCCCUUUAAUUUGAAACGGGAACGCGAAUGACUGUAAAAUGUGGGCACAAUAUUUAAUCUCUCGCCUUUUUAAAGCUUAAUAGUGGAUAAUAGGGGGGCAGUAUCAAGGGAUAAUUUGGGUCCCCACAGUACCAAAGCAUUUAGAAACCUCUGUUUAAUUUAAGGAAUGAGAUAAGUUACUGCUUUUCUAGACUUCCUAGCAUGGGCUGUUGUGCUGGAGAGAACGAGAGCUACGAAGAGACUACAGUGCCUCUGACUUUUUCAUAGGACAGUUGGCCGAGGAAGACAAACAUAAAGAUGAAGUGCUUAAUUCAAGGUCACACAAUGUCGGGGAUGGACCUCCAGAUUUCCUUACUGACCUGCAUUAUCUUGUGGAUACCUGAGUGAAUUCCACACCACCCAUUUUAUAGAUGAAACCACUGAGACAUGGAGCAAUUGACUGAGUAGUCACUGCCCCACCCCUGCCUGGAGCCUCACACAUGACUCGCCUCCUCUCAGUGACCACAGGUUGGUUGAGGGGUUUAACAAGGCUAAGAAG
rnacentral:lncRNA from 1 species